GCAUCGGUGGUUCAGUGUAGAAUGCUCGCCUGCCACGCGGGCGGCCCGGGUUCGAUCCCGGCCGAUGCA
rnacentral:tRNA from 1 species